rnacentral:misc_RNA from 1 species
GAUGAAGAACGUAGCGGAAUGCGAUAAGUAAUGUGAAUUGCAGAAUUCAGUGAAUCAUCGAAUCUUUGAACGCACCUUGCGCUCCUUGGCAUUCCGAGGAGCAUGCCUGUUUGAGUGUCAUUAAAUUCUCAAGACCUGUCUGCUUUUUUGAUAGGUAUUGGAUUUUGGGGGUUGCAGGCUGUUUCAAAUAAAUAGCCUUGCUCUCCUUGAAUGUAUUAGUGGAGAAAAGCCAUUGAACUCCAUUGGUGUGAUAAAACCUAUCAAUGCCAGGAGCAAUAUCACUACUUCUCUCUGCUGUCUAACUGUGACUGUCUGUAUUAAUUAGUAUGGAUGGGGACAACUUGACCAACUUGACCUCAAAUCAGGUAGGACUACCCGCUGAACUUAAGCAUAUCAAUAAGCGGAGGA